ACUGGGUGGUUCGAGCGCUGAAUGCUGCUUGGCUGACAACUGCUUGGCUGGCAGUCAGCCCAGCUGCUUGGCUGACAGCUGCUUGGCUGACAGCCGUGGUAUAUUUAAGCAAAUAUGCAAGGGGGUGUGGUAUAUGGCAAAUAUACCACUGCUAAGGGCUGUGUCCAGGCAAGACUUAUUGCUUCACAUCUACAGUGCAUUCGGAAAGUAUUCAGACCCCUCCACUUUUCCCACAUUUUGUUACAUUACAGCCUUAAUCUAAAAUGUAAAUACAUUUUUUCCCUCAUUAAUCUACACACAAUACCCAAUAAUGACAUAAUGAAUUUAUUUUUUUGAAAUGUUAGCUAAUGUGUAUAUAAAAAAACAAACAGAAAUAUCUUAUUUACAUAAGAUUUCAGACCCUUUGCUAUGAGACUCAAAAUUGAGCUCAGGUGCAGUGGCUACCCAUCAUUCAGGGCAGGUGGGGCUCUGUUUUUACCACAAAAAAAUGAUAUAAAUGAAAUCACUUCUUGUAAUAAAAAAAAAUGGGGGUUGCCUGUUUGCAUGUUAUUUUGGCAUUAAUAUGUGUCACAUAUCAGUUUGCAAACAAUGUAAUGAAAAAUAUAUACAGUUGAAGUCAGAAGUUUACAUACACUUAUGUUGGAGUUGUUAAAACUAGUUUUUCAACCACUCCACAAAUUCCUUGUUAACAAACUAUAGUUUUGGCAAGUCAGUUAGGACAUCUACUUGUGCAUGACACAAGUAAUUUUUCCGACAUUUGUUUAUAGACAGAUUAUUUCACUUAUAAUUCACUGUAUCACAAUUACAGUGGGUCAGAAGUUUACCUACACUAAAUUGACUGUGCCUUUAAACAACAAAAAUUCCAGAAAAUUAUGUCAUGGCUUUAAAGGCUUCUGAUAGGCUAAUUGACAUAAUCCGAGUCAAUUUGAGGUGUACCUGUGGAUGUAUUUCAAGGCCUACCUUCAAACUCAGUACCUCUUUGCUUGACAUCAUGGGAAAAUCAAAAUAAAUCAGCCAAGACCUCAGAAAAAAAUUGUAGACCUCCACAAGUCUGGUUCAUCCUUGGGAGCAAUUUCCAAAUGUCUGAAGGUACCACGUUCAUCUGUACAAACACAAACAAUAGUACGCAAGUAUAAACACCAUGGGACCACGCAGCCGUCAUACCGCUCAGGAAGGAGUCUCCUAGAGAUGAACAUACUUUGGUGCGAAAAGUGCAAAUCAAUCCCAGAGCAGCAAAGGACCAUGUGAAGAUGCUGGAGGAAACUGGUUCAAAAGUAUCUAUAUCCACAGUAAAAAGAGUCCCAUACCGACAUAAGCUGAAAGGCCGCUCAGCAAGGAAUAAGCCACGGCUCUAAAACUACCAUAAAAAAGCCAGACUACGGUUUGCAACUGCACAUGGGGACAAAGAUUGUACUUUUUGGAGAAAUGUCCUCUGGUCUGAUGAAACAAAAAUAGAACUGUUUGGCCAUAAUGACCAUCGUUAUGUUUGGAGGAACAAGGGGGAUGCUUGCAAGCCGAAGAACAUCAUCCCAACCAUGAACCUCUGGGGUGGCAGCAUCAUGUUGUGUGGGUGCUUUGCUGCAGGAGGGACUGGUGCACUUCACAAAAUAGAUGGCGAGAUGAGGAAGGAAAAUUAUGUGGAUAUAUUGAAGCAACAUCUCAAGACAUCAGUCAGGAAGUUAAAGCUUGGUUGCAAUGGGUCUUCCAAAUGGACAAUGACCCCAAGCAUACUUCCAAAGUUGUGGCAAAAGGACAACAAAGUCAAGGUAUUGGAGUGGCCAUCACAAAGCCCUGACCUCAAUUCUAUAGAAAAUGCAUGGGCAGAACUGAAAAAGCAUGUGCGAGCAAGGAGGCCUACAAACCUGACUCAGUUACACCAGCUCUGUCAGGAGGAAUGGGCCACAAUUCACCCAACUUAUUGUGGGAAGCUUGUGGAAGGCUACCUGAAAAGUUUCACCCAAUUUAAACAAUUUAAAGGCAAUGGUACCAAAUACUAAUUGAGUAUAUGUAAACUUCUGACCCACUGGGAAUGUGAUGAAAGAAAUAAAAGCUGAAAUAAAUCAUUCUCUCUACUAUUAUUCUGACAUUUCACAUUCUUAAAAUAAAGUGGUGAUCCUAACGGACCUAAAACAGGGAAUUUUUGCUCAGAUUAAAUGUCAGGAAUUGUGAAAAACUGAGUUUAAAUGUAUUUGGCUAAGGUGUAUGUAAACUUCUGACUUCAACUGUAUAUAAUUGAGUUUAUAAAGCCUCCAUACAAACAUGCUUUCUUGAGUAAGGCAGCUCCCAAAUGCAGGGUCUAUUUUCACCUCUGAAUUUCACCUACUGUUCUGACUUGGUGGUGCACAUGCAGCCUAUAACAUGUUUUAGAGAAAUGUAAUCAUAGAAUAUUGUAAGAGCUUUCAUUGUCUGCUUAUAUGCCCCAUUAAUUAUCCUACUGUUCUAACUUGGUGUACAGGGAGAACACUGUAAGAAUGGCCCAUUUUCUGAAUUCUGUCGCUGUACAUUUCAAAAGUGGUGAAAAAUAAUUAUAUUGACUAUGUCCGUCCUAGCUCGCUCAUUAAUUAAUGUCUUAAUCGAAAUUACGGAUUGCCUCAUAUCCGCUUGUUGUCCCCUUAUGCCAUAGUUUGUACAUCUCAAUUGUCAGUAGAAACCACAUUUGUUUAAGCAAGUUCCUCAGCGGGCAUCUGAAUGGGCACCUGGUGUUGUUUCUCUAUGCAAAUAAUCUCAGUGCAACACACACACAUACACACCAUGAUGUGAAUGUUUUAGAGUUAAAAUAUGCAAAAUUGUUAUGUUCAUUGAAAAGUGCCCAUCUUUCUGACAGUGGGGUUGGCACAAGAGCUAGUUUGAUUGGUUUGUCUAAAUAGAAGAAUGUCAGACAAUGUGCGCAUUUGUGACUUUAUUUUGCCUGGAGAACGAGUUCCCUGGAGAAUGAAGAGUGUGACCAGGUGAGAGAGAGAUGGUAUGUGUGUGACCGGAGAGAGUUUUACUUUAUGAUUGAGAGAGAGAGCUGUGACCUACUGUGAACAGCAGCACGUACACCUGGAUGUGCAGACAGACAGAGUGUAAUGAGGCAAGGCCAAACACCCCCAUCUCAGCUUGAAACAGGAAUGUAAACUUUUCAUCUAGGGAUGGAGGUAGUGGGGAAGCUGUCUGUCUUCUGGCUGCACCCGAUACUCCUUUCUUUGAUCUUCUCUUUUCUUCUCUCAGUCCUAAAUUCUAAUUUGAUGCACAGAUGUUAUUUUAUGUUCCUGUCUGAUUCAUUUAUUUCCCAUUCAUAAAUCUAUGAGUAGAUAUUGGAGCAGACAACCAUUAUAUGUCAAAGGCAAGGCCUGGUAAUAACUUUUCAAAGGUAACCAUGUGUCUCUUUCUCCCUGUGAUUAAUAUGUCACAGAGCAGUGAGCACCUUAGCACGGAAGGACAAUUUUAUCUUAUUCUACACUAGACAAAAUGAAAAUAAAUGUUUUUUUUUUUUUUUUAAUCAACAGGUUAACUUUAAAAUCAUUCAAUGCGCUAAUAAAAAAAAAAAAUGUUCUUAUCACAAUUGAACAUUGUUUGUACAUAGCUAACGUUAUGACUUUGUUGCAAAAGUAACAAUAUGGGCUUUAUACCAUGGUUUAUGGCGCGACUACGUGGAUACAGUUGGUACUUCCAUAAUUUUGGCGUGGCACUUUCACCAAAACCCAGCUUUAAUUCCAACAUUGAUGAUUGGUUACUAAUCAUGAAGUCCCCCUCCGUCAACAUGAUUGGCAUCCCAAAGCCUUUCUUUCUGUUACGACGUCUUAGAAAUGUGCUACCCAGUUGGUCAACCUAAAUACCCACCCGACAUUUUAACGACAUGACUGGUUCACUGUGUUUGUGGGCGGGUAUAAACUUCCAGAACUGGGCGUAGCAGGAUCUGUGACGUCGUUGAGGGAAACUAAACAACCACCCGUUUACUGAGAUUAUACAGCACAUGGUACCUGCAUUGAUUUAGUCUAAAAACACCAAGUGAACUGAUAGUAUAAAUUUGUUUACAGAGAUCGUCAAGAAAAGCGCAAAAGAACAUGUAAAUAUUUGUGAGGGACCAAGCUGGAACUGGAAGGACUCACGUUAGCUAUGUUUGUAUAAUUUGCUGAGUGCGUGCUACUAACGUUGCUAUUUCAAAACUUUAACUAGUUGUGUACUAUUUAACCGGGUACCAAUGUUAGCUAGCUGGCUAACUGUUGUAUUUGAUGAAGUGGUCGUUGUUGCCUGAGUAAAUUAAACACAGGCGAAACAAAAGCUUGAAAAUGGACACUUCACAUGACACCCGCAGGGUAUGUCACGUGUAAGAUAGGACCUACUGUUGGCUCUGUUGAUAGGGUCUCUUAACCCAGGGGUUCCCAAACUUUUUCACUCUGGGCUCCCCUUCCAACAUUGGGGAACAUCCCGCGCACGCCACGUCUAUUUCUAUGGGCACGGUUGAUGGCACACUGUUCACACCCCUCUUAUUAGUGGAGAGAAUUUUGCAGGUUUAAAGCUUAUUUCCUGCUAUUUUACAAAUUUUUUCAUAGGAUGCAAAUAAGAAUUUGCAGUUUUUUUGGCAAUUCUAUAAAUUGCCACGUCUGUAUUUGAGUGACAAAAAAAUUAAUCAUAUAUAUGGGCAAAAAAAACAAAAUAGAAUAAAAAACAUUAGCUGACAUGGGCUAGUUGAUCUGGACAUUUCUGGCAAGUUAUAAAUAGCUCUCUAAUGUAACAUGACAAGAACUGAUGAUGCACUACCCAAUUUCGAAAUUGAACCUUGUGCAUUCUACUAUUACAACUUUCAAGGGUAUGUUUAAAGCCAGACUGAGACCCCUGUGCCUCCCCCUGCUGAUCCCUUACGCCCCCCACAAGCGAUUUCAACACUCACAUGAUUGCUGACCACAGCAUGGUUGGGUAUAAUUUGUGGAACGUUCCAGAAUCUGUUCCAUAAACCUUGUAGAGUACAAGGUUGCCAACAAACAAUGCAUACAAAGUAACCGAAAUAUGCAUCAGCUCACCACGUACACUACCGUUCAAAAGUUUGGGGUCACUAAGAAAUGUCCUUGUUUUUUAAACAAAAGCACAAAAAAAAUAUCAAUUUAAAAUAACAUCAAAUUGAUCAGAAAUACAGUGUAGACAUUGUUAAUGUUGUAAAUGACUAUUGUAGCUUGAAACAGCUGAUUCAAAUAAUAAUUUAUGGAAUAUCUACAUAGGCCCAUUACCAGCAAGAGCCAGUUUGCGCUGUUUUGUGAAGGGAGUAGUACACAGCGUUUUAUGAGAUCUUCAGUUUCUUGGCAAUUUAUCACAUGGAAUGGCCUUCAUUUCUCAGAACAAGAACAGGCUGACAAGUUUCAGAAAAAAGGUCUUUGUUUCUGGCCAUUUUGAGCCUGUACUCAAACCCACAAAUGCUGAUGCUCCAGAUACUCAACUAGUCUAAAGAAUGCCAGUUUUAUUGCUUCUUUCAUCAGUACAACAGUUUUCAGCUGUGCUAACAUAAUUGCAAAAGGGUUUUCUAAUGAUCAAUUAGCCUUUUAAAAUGAUCAACUUGGAUUAGCUAACACAACGUCCCAUUGGAACACAGGAGUGAUGGUUGCUGAUAACGGGCCUCUGUACGCCUUUGUAGGUAUUGUAGAUUUCAAGCCAGGUCAUUGGGUGGGAGUGAAGUAUAACGAGCCUCUUGGGAAACAUGACGGGCAGGUGAUGGCAACGGACAUAAUUUUGUGACGUCAUCGCAUGGUGUCUGAAAUGUUCACUGUUUAGAGUGUGAAGGAGAAGUGAUACUUUGAAUGUGAGAACAAGUACGGUGCGUUUGUCAGGCCCCUCACAAAGACCGUGUGGAACUUCCCAGAGGAAGACUUUCGUCUGGACGAGAUGUAGUACUGUGAUGCUGUCACCCUGUCAAAGGGCGUGGGCAGUUGGGUUCAACAUUGACCUCCAAGUCUGAUUACAAACCCGGGGUGAGGGACAGUGUCAUGAUUGAUGACUAAUAAUCACUAAUGUGAUUAAUAAAUAAUCUGCAUGGAGGAAUGGGCCAAAAUACCAGCAACAGUGUGUGAAAACCUUGUGAAGACUUACAGAAAACGUUUGACCUCUGUCAUUGCCAACAAAGGGUAUAUAACAAAGUAUUGAGAAACUUUUGUUAUUGACCAAAUACUUAUUUUCCACCAUAAUUUGCAAAUAAAUUCAUAAAAAAUCCUACAAUGUGAUUUUCUGGAUUUUCUUUUCUCAUUUUGUCUGUCAUAGUUGAAGUGUACCUAUGAUGAAAAUUACAGGCCUCUCUCAUCUUUUUAAGUGGGAGAACUUGCACAAUUGGUGGCUGACUAAAUACUUUUUUGUUCCACUGUAUAUUGAAUGAGGAGAGGUGAGAAAAGCACAACGUUUUUGCCUUGUUACAAAUACAUUGUCGAUGUAUUUAAUGUAAAUGAUAACCAUGUGGUCCAACUAUUUCCUUUGAUCCAGUGGAUGUAGAAAGCAAGCGUUCCUAAAUUGAUAUCCUCAGAAUUGAGUUGUAUCUGAAUUGCCCAUCACAUCCUAGAUUCUAUAUCAGGGGUGUCAAACUCAUUCCACGGAGGGCCUAGUGUCUGCAGGUUUUUGGUUUUUCCUUUCAAUAAAGCCCUAGACAACCAGGUGUGGGGAGUUCCUAACUAAUUAGUGAUGUUAAUUCAUCAAUCAAGUAUAAGGGAGGAGCGAAAACCCGCAGACACUCGGCCCCCGUGGAAUGAGUUUGACACCUGUGUUCUAUAUGAAUAGUAGACAGUCAUAAAAAUCACAACAUUGUUCAUCAUAUGUCAAUUAUCAUCCCAAGCCAGGGUUCUAUCAAACUUUCUAAAAUCCCAUGCUUUGGAAUGCAAGAAUUCAAGCAACAACAAAAUAUCUAUUUGUACUACUGACUAGUGGCAAAAUGUUCAGUUUAUUUUAAUUUCUGUUAGUUCAUUGGUUAUUGUACCAUAGAAGCCGUUUGUUUUUGUGUGUCGUGUCCCUGUUCUAGAUUCUGGAAACUUACAUUGUUUCUAACACUCCAACACAACCGCAAAGCUCUCCAGAGGGUGGUGAGGUUUGUGCAACGCAUCACUUGGGGGCAAACUACCUGUUCUCCAGGACACCUACAGCACCCAAUGUCACAGGAAGGCCAAAAAGAUAAUCAAGGUCAACAACCACCCGAGCCACUGCCUGUUCACCCCACUACCAUCCAGAAGGCAAGGUCAGUACAGGUGCAUCAAAGCUGGGACUGACUGAAAAACGUCUAUCUCAAGGCCAUCACAGACUGUUGAACAGCCAACACAGAGAGGCUGCUACCUACAUACCGACUCGAAAUCUUACAUGCUCAUCUCAUAUGUAUAUGCUGUAUUUUAUACAAUGUAUUGCAUCUUGCCUAUGCCGCGUGGUCAUUGCUCAUCCAUAUAUUUAUACGUACAUAAUCUUAUUCCAUCCCUUUAGAUUUGUGUGUAUUAGGUAGUUAUUGUGGAUUUGUAAGAUAUUACUGCACUGUCGGAACAAGAAGCACAAGCAUUUCGCUACACUCGCAUUAACAUCUGCUAAGCAUGUGUAUGUGAACAAUAACAUUUUAUUUGAAUGUCAGAACAUCAGUUGUGCACAUUGACAGCAUACAGUUCAGACUGACUGCCCAGGUGGCGACAAUGCACUUUUCAUGUGGAUAUCACAUCUUAUCUGCGCUUCUACUUCUACUUCAUUGUACUAAUCCUUUUUUUAUUGAAUUGUAUUUUUCCCCGGAUGUUGUCAGCAACUAACAGGCCCAGAAUUGUUCAAGAUUUGUCAUCUGUUUUUAUGAAAUCUCAAAGGUGUUGAUGUGUC